rnacentral:rRNA from 1 species
GCCAGACUCCUACGGGAGGCAGCAGUGGGGAAUAUUGCACAAUGGGGGGAACCCUGAUGCAGCGACGCCGCGUGAGUGAAGAAGUAUUUCGGUAUGUAAAGCUCUAUCAGCAGGGAAGAAAAUGACGGUACCUGACUAAGAAGCCCCGGCUAACUACGUGCCAGCAGCCGCGGUAAUACGUAGGGGGCAAGCGUUAUCCGGAUUUACUGGGUGUAAAGGGAGCGUAGACGGCAGAGCAAGUCAGAUGUGAAAGCCCGGGGCUCAACCCCGGGACUGCAUUUGAAACUGUCAGGCUGGAGUGCAGGAGAGGUAAGUGGAAUUCCUAGUGUAGCGGUGAAAUGCGUAGAUAUUAGGAGGAACACCAGUGGCGAAGGCGGCUUACUGGACUGUAACUGACGUUGAGGCUCGAAAGCGUGGGGAGCAGACAGGAUUAGAUACCCUGGUAU